ACUUAAAUAGCUUAUAAAUUAGAGCGUGACACUGAAGAUGUUAAAGAGACUAUUCUAGUCUUUAAGUA
rnacentral:tRNA from 1 species